UGGGAAGCUUGCUCCCUGAUGUUAGCGGCGGACGGGUGAGUAACACGUGGGUAACCUGCCUGUAAGACUGGGAUAACUCCGGGAAACCGGGGCUAAUACCGGAUGCUUGUUUGAACCGCAUGGUUCAAACAUAAAAGGUGGCUUCGGCUACCACUUACAGAUGGACCCGCGGCGCAUUAGCUAGUUGGUGAGGUAACGGCUCACCAAGGCAACGAUGCGUAGCCGACCUGAGAGGGUGAUCGGCCACACUGGGACUGAGACACGGCCCAGACUCCUACGGGAGGCAGCAGUAGGGAAUCUUCCGCAAUGGACGAAAGUCUGACGGAGCAACGCCGCGUGAGUGAUGAAGGUUUUCGGAUCGUAAAGCUCUGUUGUUAGGGAAGAACAAGUACCGUUCGAAUAGGGCGGUACCUUGACGGUACCUAACCAGAAAGCCACGGCUAACUACGUGCCAGCAGCCGCGGUAAUACGUAGGUGGCAAGCGUUGUCCGGAAUUAUUGGGCGUAAAGGGCUCGCAGGCGGUUUCUUAAGUCUGAUGUGAAAGCCCCCGGCUCAACCGGGGAGGGUCAUUGGAAA
rnacentral:rRNA from 1 species